rnacentral:rRNA from 1 species
ACGGGGUGCAGCAGGCGCGAAACCUCCACAAUUCACGAAAGUGAGAUGGGGUUACCUCGAGUGCCGCCUGAUGAAGGCGGCUUUUCCAUUGUGUAAUGAGCCGUGGGAAUAAGAGGGGGGCAAGACUGGUGUCAGCCGCCGCGGUAACACCAGCCCCUCGAGUGGUAGGGAUGAUUAUUUGGCCUAAAGCGUCCGUAGCCGGCUUUGUAAAUCUCUCGUUAAAUCCAACGUCCUAAGCGUUGGGCUGCGAGGGGAACUGCAGAGCUAGAGGGUGGGAGAGGUCAGCGGUAUUCCUGGGGUAGGGGCGAAAUCCAUUGAUCCCAGGAGGACCACCAAUGGCGAAGGCUGCUGACUUGAACACGCCUGACGGUGAGGGACGAAAGCUGGGGUAGCGAAUCGGAUUAGAUACCCGAGUAGUCCCAGCCGUAAACGAUGCAGGCUAGGUGUUGGGUCGGCCACGUGCUGGCUCAGUGCCACAGGGAAGCCAUUAAGCCUGCCGCCUGGGAGUACGCCGCAAGGC